AGAGGAAGUAAAAGUCGUAACAAGGUUUCCGUAGGUGAACCUGCGGAAGGAUCAUUACCUAGAGUUGUAGGCUUUGCCUACCAUCUCUUACCCAUGUCUUUUGAGUACCUUCGUUUCCUCGGCGGGUCCGCCCGCCGAUUGGACAAACUUAAACCCUUUGUAAUUGAAAUCAGCGUCUGAAAAAACAUAAUAGUUACAACUUUCAACAACGGAUCUCUUGGUUCUGGCAUCGAUGAAGAACGCAGCGAAAUGCGAUAAGUAGUGUGAAUUGCAGAAUUCAGUGAAUCAUCGAAUCUUUGAACGCACAUUGCGCCCCUUGGUAUUCCAUGGGGCAUGCCUGUUCGAGCGUCAUUUGUACCUUCAAGCUCUGCUUGGUGUUGGGUGUUUGUCUCGCCUCUGCGUGUAGACUCGCCUUAAAACAAUUGGCAGCCGGCGUAUUGAUUUCGGAGCGCAGUACAUCUCGCGCUUUGCACUCAUAACGACGACGUCCAAAAAGUACUUUUUACACUCUGAC
rnacentral:rRNA from 1 species